CAAGUCGAACGAUGAUGGGAGCCUGCUCCUGGAUUAGUGGCGAACGGGUGAGUAACACGUGAGUAACCUGCCCUUAACUCUGGGAUAAGCCUGGGAAACUGGGUCUAAUACCGGAUAUGACUCCUCAUCGCAUGGUGGGGGGUGGAAAGCUUUAUUGUGGUUUUGGAUGGACUCGCGGCCUAUCAGCUUGUUGGUGAGGUAAUGGCUUACCAAGGCGACGACGGGUAGCCGGCCUGAGAGGGUGACCGGCCACACUGGGACUGAGACACGGCCCAGACUCCUACGGGAGGCAGCAGUGGGGAAUAUUGCACAAUGGGCGCAAGCCUGAUGCAGCGACGCCGCGUGAGGGAUGACGGCCUUCGGGUUGUAAACCUCUUUCAGUAGGGAAGAAGCGAAAGUGACGGUACCUGCAGAAGAAGCGCCGGCUAACUACGUGCCAGCAGCCGCGGUAAUACGUAGGGCGCAAGCGUUAUCCGGAAUUAUUGGGCGUAAAGAGCUCGUAGGCGGUUUGUCGCGUCUGCCGUGAAAGUCCGGGGCUCAACUCCGGAUCUGCGGUGGGUACGGGCAGACUAGAGUGAUGUAGGGGAGACUGGAAUUCCUGGUGUAGCGGUGAAAUGCGCAGAUAUCAGGAGGACACCGAUGGCGAAGGCAGGUCUCUGGGCAUUACCUGACGCUGAGGAGCGAAAGCAUGGGGAGCGA
rnacentral:rRNA from 1 species